GGGGAAUAUUGCACAAUGGGCGAAAGCCUGAUGCAGCAACGCCGCGUGAGUGAUGAAGGCCUUCGGGUUGUAAAGCUCUGUCUUCUGGGACGAUAAUGACGGUACCAGAGGAGGAAGCCACGGCUAACUACGUGCCAGCAGCCGCGGUAAUACGUAGGUGGCAAGCGUUGUCCGGAUUUACUGGGUGUAAAGGGCGCGCAGGCGGGAUAAAAAGUCAGUGGUGAAAUCCUACAGCUUAACUGUAGAACUGCCUUUGAUACUUUUAUUCUUGAGUUCGGGAGAGAGAGACGCAAUUCCAGGUGUAGUGGUGAAAUACGUAGAUAUCUGGAAGAACACCAGUGGCGAAGGCGGUCUCUUGGUCCGACACUGACGCUGAGGCGCGAAAGCGUGGGGAGCAAACA
rnacentral:rRNA from 1 species